AGUACUUUCAUCAGUGAAGACCCAAUUGCUAACCCCACCAUGCACUAGAAAGAUCAUUAUGUGGGGACACAGGUGCUUAUUAUGACCAACGAACAGUCAUUUUCAAAUUAUCAUGUACAUGGAUGGACAAACUAUGUUCACUGGAUGGCUAUAUAUCAACACUCCCAUGUACAUGAACAGCCUUGCCCUAGGAAUUUUGCCCUGAAGUAACAGUUUUCAGUCCAUUGUGUCCUUUCUCUUAACAACCCUGACAGCCAGGAUAGUAGCUGAUUACAUGUACUUAACAGAAAAUGAUCAUGUCUUAGACAAGUCAAAGAAAUUCCUCCAGUCUUUCAGAGAAAUGACAGUUGAUGAAAGAAUGGUGGCCACAAAGUAAAAGUGCUCUGGUCUUCAACAUUUUGUGGAAGAUUAAAUCAGUCUGAUUUGGAAUUCAGCUUGCAAUAUUUCUGGAUUUGUAUAUUUGUAUAAAAACAUAACUUUUUCAACUUAUUGACUAAACAGUUUUGCAUUAGAUAUUGCCAAUGCCAUCUAUUAUUAUUUUUUUUCCUCCAAGAUGACAUGUCAAGUCUUUAUUGUACCCCUUAAACACCCAAUUUUAUGUUAACGCCCACAAAAUCUACCCAAUUCAAGAUCAAUAGUAUACCGCCUGUCAAUCAUUAAAAAAACAAUAGCUUCUGAUUUGAUUGACGGGCCAGUUACAUGGGCUACCUGAUAAUCUGAGU